rnacentral:rRNA from 1 species
UCUGGUAAUAAUGGCGAGAAGGUCACACCCGUUCCCAUACCGAACACGGAAGUUAAGCUUUUCAGCGCCGAUGGUAGUUGGGACUUUGUCCCUGUGAGAGUAGGACGUUGCCAGGC